CACUAUCAUUACCUGAAUACAUAGGGUAAUGAAGCGAACCGGGAGAACUGAAACAUCUAAGUACCCCGAGGAAAAGAAAUCAAACGAGAUUCCCCCAGUAGCGGCGAGCGAACGGGGAGCAGCCCAGGACCUUAAUCAGCAUCAGUGUUAAGAGAACAGUCUGGAAAGGCUGGCCACAGCAGGUGAUAGCCCUGUAUCUGAAAGCACUGGUGUUGUGAGUCCGAUGAGUAAGGCGGGACACGUGUUAUCCUGUCUGAAUA
rnacentral:rRNA from 1 species